rnacentral:rRNA from 1 species
CCUACGGGAGGCAGCAGUGAGGAAUAUUGGUCAAUGGACGAGAGUCUGAACCAGCCAAGUAGCGUGAAGGAUGACUGCCCUAUGGGUUGUAAACUUCUUUUAUAUGGGAAUAAAAUGUUCCACGUGUGGGACUUUGUAUGUACCAUAUGAAUAAGGAUCGGCUAACUCCGUGCCAGCAGCCGCGGUAAUACGGAGGAUCCGAGCGUUAUCCGGAUUUAUUGGGUUUAAAGGGAGCGUAGGUGGAUUGUUAAGUCAGUUGUGAAAGUUUGCGGCUCAACCGUAAGAUUGCAGUUGAAACUGGCAGUCUUGAGUACAGGAGAGGUGAGCGGAAUUCGUGGUGUAGCGGUGAAAUGCUUAGAUAUCACGAAGAACUCCGAUUGCGAAGGCAGCUCACUGGACUGCAACUGACACUGAGGCUCGAAAGUGUGGGUAUCAAACAGGAUUAGAUACCCCAGUAGUC